UACGUAGGGUGCAAGCGUUGUCCGGAAUUAUUGGGCGUAAAGAGCUCGUAGGCGGUCUGUCACGUCGGACGUGAAAAUCCAGGGCUCAACCCUGGACCUGCGUUCGAUACGGGCAGACUAGAGUUCGGUAGGGGAGACUGGAAUUCCUGGUGUAGCGGUGAAAUGCGCAGAUAUCAGGAGGAACACCGGUGGCGAAGGCGGGUCUCUGGGCCGAAACUGACGCUGAGGAGCGAAAGCCAGGGGAGCAAACGGG
rnacentral:rRNA from 1 species